CGGUUUGUCGCGUCUGCCGUGAAAGUCCGGGGCUCAACUCCGGAUCUGCGGUGGGUACGGGCAGACUAGAGUGAUGUAGGGGAGACUGGAAUUCCUGGUGUAGCGGUGAAAUGCGCAGAUAUCAGGAGGAACACCGAUGGCGAAGGCAGGUCUCUGGGCAUUAACUGACGCUGAGGAGCGAAAGCAUGGGGAGCGAACAGGAUUAGAUACCCUGGUAGUCCAUGCCGUAAACGUUGGGCACUAGGUGUGGGGGACAUUCCACGUUUUCCGCGCCGUAGCUAACGCAUUAAGUGCCCCGCCUGGGGAGUACGGCCGCAAGGCUAAAACUCAAAGGAAUUGACGGGGGCCCGCACAAGCGGCGGAGCAUGCGGAUUAAUUCGAUGCAACGCGAAGAACCUUACCAAGGCUUGACAUGAACUGGAAAUACCUGGAAACAGGUGCCCCGCUUGCGGUCGGUUUACAGGUGGUGCAUGGUUGUCGUCAGCUCGUGUCGUGAGAUGUUGGGUUAAG
rnacentral:rRNA from 1 species